rnacentral:rRNA from 1 species
GACGAACGCUGGCGGCGUGCUUAACACAUGCAAGUCGAACGGAAAGGCCUCUUUCGGGGGGUACUCGAGUGGCGAACGGGUGAGUAACACGUGAGUAACCUGCCCUUGACUUUGCGAUAACUUCAGGAAACUGGGGCUAAUACCGGAUAGGAGCUCCUGCUGCAUGGUGGGGGUUGGAAAGUUUCGGCGGUUGGGGAUGGACUCGCGGCUUAUCAGCUUGUUGGUGGGGUAGUGGCUUACCAAGGCUUUGACGGGUAGCCGGCCUGAGAGGGUGACCGGCCACAUUGGGACUGAGAUACGGCCCAGACUCCUACGGGAGGCAGCAGUGGGGAAUAUUGCACAAUGGGUGGAAGCCUGAUGCAGCAACGCCGUGUGCGGGAUGACGGCCUUCGGGUUGUAAACCGCUUUCGCUCAUGACGAAGCUUUGUGUGACGGUAGUGGGUAAAGAAGCACCGGCUAACUACGUG